rnacentral:rRNA from 1 species
GGCCAUGUGGCGACACAGAGCGGAACCCGAAAACCUGUCUCAGUUCGGAUUGGAGUCUGCAACCCGACUCCAUGAAGCUGGAUUCGCUAGUAAUCGCGCAUCAGCCAUGGCGCGGUGAAUACGUUCCCGGGCCUUGUACACACCGCCCGUCAAGCCAUGGAAGCCGGGAGUGCCUGAAGUGCGUGAGCGUAAGCAGCGCCCUAAGGUAAAACCGGUGACUGGGGCUAAGUCGUAACAAGGUACC